GACGAACGCUGGCGGCGUGCCUAAUACAUGCAAGUAGGACGCAGUUGUGAACGGGUGAGUAACGCGUAGGUAACUACCUAUUAGAGGGGGAUAACUAUUGGAAACGAUAGCUAAUACCGCAUACUAAUAGUUGGACCUUCGUUGUAUUAGGUAGUAGGUAGGGUAAAGGCCUACCUGGUCAACGAUACAUAGCCGACCUGGGAGGGGGAUCAGCCAAACGGGGACUGAGAAACGGCCCAGACUCCUACCGGAGGCAGCAGUAGGGGAUCUUCGGCAAUGGGGGGAACCCUGACCGAGCAAAGCCGCGUGAGUGAAGAAGGUUUUCGGAUCGUAAAGCUCUGUUGUUAAGGAAGCGGUACUUAAAGAGAAAGGAACGGCUAACUACGUGCCAGCAGCCGCGGUAAUUC
rnacentral:rRNA from 1 species